AACGAACGCUGGCGGCAUGCCUAACACAUGCAAGUCGAACGAAGGCUUCGGCCUUAGUGGCGCACGGGUGCGUAACGCGUGGGAAUCUGCCCUUUGCUUCGGAAUAACAGUUAGAAAUGACUGCUAAUACCGGAUAAUGACUUCGGUCCAAAGAUUUAUCGGCAAAGGAUGAGCCCGCGUAAGAUUAGGUGGUUGGUGGGGUAAUGGCCUACCAAGCCGACGAUCUUUAGCUGGUCUGAGAGGAUGAUCAGCCACACUGGGACUGAGACACGGCCCAGACUCCUACGGGAGGCAGCAGUGGGGAAUAUUGGACAAUGGGCGAAAGCCUGAUCCAGCAAUGCCGCGUGAGUGAUGAAGGCCUUAGGGUUGUAAAGCUCUUUUACCCGGGAUGAUAAUGACAGUACCGGGAGAAUAAGCUCCGGCUAACUCCGUGCCAGCAGCCGCAGUAAAAC
rnacentral:rRNA from 1 species